rnacentral:lncRNA from 1 species
UGUGUUUUGUCUCUUUAUGAUGAAUAUGAUAGAAAAAGCUAAGGAUUGAUAUUGAGUAUGUGGGAUAUGUGGUGUAGAUACUGAGCAGGACGGCACAUGUGGAGGAAGAGACAUACAAGCAGCUGCUGGAGAAGGCGGUGGAGGAAGGGUACGACGUCAGCAAGCUUCACAAGACCCCUCAGAGUGACACACCACCUGAGUCCAACGCUGCUCCUAACGACACCAAGGAUCAAAUGCUAAAAUAGACCACAAAGGGUCAAAAAAAUUUGAUAUAGACCUAUUGUUUCUUUAUUUUAAUAAUAAAUAAAAAUUAGGGAGAAAAGACAAUGAGACCUAAUAACUUAAACAUAUUUACUAAUCUAUGCCAUUGCAAUUCUACCCAGAUUCUGAUCCAGAUUCUGACCCGGAUCCAUACCCAAACCCGAUCUAACUCUAACCCUAGUCUUCUUCUUCCUCCUUUUUUCUUCUCCAUUAAUGUUCCUUCAUUUUAAAAAAAAAAUCAAAAAUUUUCUUUAACCAUCCUUUAAUUUUCUCUUUCUUAACCCAAAUCGAACAAUCCAUACUCAUAUUUAAUCAAUUAUAUCUUAUUUAGAAUCAAAUUUCAUAUUUUAUGAAUGAGAUUUAAAAUAAAGAAGAACGCGAAGUAUAACUAAUACAAAGAGUACAACUACAACUGGUACGGAUAGUACAACUCCAACUCAUACAACUAAUACAAAUCAAAUUGGUACAACUAGUACAGCUAAAACAAAUAUAACUAGUAUAAAUAUAUUGAGUAUAGCCAAUAUAGCUGAUACAAGAAAAACUUGUAUAACUAAUACAACUUUACAAUAAUUUGGUGAGUUUUUAUUUUUUGUUAUCAACAUAUAAAAAUGACAUAAAAAGGAUAAUUUAGAACCAAUAAAACAUGUUGGUCUAAUCUUUUCCCGCCUGCAUGUAUCAAAUACAUGAAUUGUAUAUUUUUAAUAAUAUUUGAAUUGAAUAAUGAUUUAUUUACAAGUUGUACAAGUUAUACUGGUUGUACUAUUUUCUAAAAAAAACAUCAAUCAUCUUUUUAUUCUUAAGGCCAAAAAAGUAGAUGUGGAUCCAAAAAAGUCUUUAACCAUGGUUCUAAAAAACACAAGUCACUGGAAAAAUAAAAAGAAGGGAACGUCGGCGAUGAGUAAGAGUAACCAUCAUCGAUGGAGAAAAAGAUGGUCUCUAUUGUGAAGAAGAGAGAUGCCGCAUCGGAAAAUAAAAAAGACGCAGUGAAGAAAAAGAGAGAUGCGACAAAGAAGAGUGUAGUCGUGGUGAAAAAUAGGAAGCUUGACGGUGGUGUCCAUGGUGGGUCUUCGUCAAAUCCAAACAAACAGCUCGGAAUUGCAAGAGAGAAACCACAUUUCCACCGGACCCUCAAUGCGUUCUUUUCCCGAAACCAUCAAUGGCUUCACCAUUUCAGCCCACUAGUAAGCCCCAUAAAUCAUGAAGUCAACCCAAAAAUUUAGAUGUAUUUUGGUAUAACUAAUGCAACAAGUUCAACUACACUGUAAUAUAUAAGAAUAGUACAACUACUCGACAUUAGUGUUUCAAUCAAAAUAUUUAAAAUAAGAUACACAUUCAAAACAUGAUGCAUAUUUAAAACAAUACUAAAUUAAAUAACAAGUAGUUAUACCGGUUUUCUAGUUGUAUCGGUUGUGUAUAGUUAAUAGUUGUACUAGUUUUUGAGUUGUACCAUUUUGUGCAUAGUUGUACUUUGGUAAUAAAAACCAAAAUAUUAAUUCUUCCACAUAAUAAAUAUAUUUAUCUCAGUUGUACCACUUAUUUAUGUUUUCAUGCAUUUGCCCGAUUAUAAUGAAAUCAUCAAUUUUAUAAAAAUACAUUUCAUGUAUGUUUUUCAAAAAUUAUGUGGACAAACAAGUUAACAAACCUUAAAAGUAUAAGGUAUAUCAUGUAAAUUUCUGGAACUGUGUAAUAACUUUUAUUUUAUUUUUUCAAAACUUAUAAUAAAUUAAGAAAAACUUUUUGAAUACAUACCCUUUGCCGUCUGCAAGAAACUGAAAAUCAACCCUUUGCAGUAUGUACACGACUGUUACACUUGUGAACGGUAUUACAAAACUUAUGCUGCCACUUUUUCUCCUGUUCCGGAGUUAUCAGCUUGGCCGGAAGCUUCCGGAGUUCUGAGAUUGUUUCCCCCAGUCAUUCCUCCGCCACCACCGCCUCCAUCUUCUGUAGUACCAUGUAAGGCCCAACGCAAAUCAACUCUUAAGACUAAUAAAAGGAAGAGCUGAGAAAUGUAGAUUUUCAUCUGAAUCGAACCGGACAUUUUGGUAUGUUUAUGUAGUAUCUUGCGACUUUCAGAAGUAGGGUUAAUCCCGGUUUGAAUUUUACGAUGUUGAUGCUGUAAUGGAAGAAACAGAACGUGUGUUGGUGUUUUUUUUUGGUAUGUGAUGAUUAAUCCGGUUUGUGUCAGAAAUUUUGUCGAUCCCAUGAACCGAUACAAAAACAAAGCUAAACCGGAUCGGAAACUGAAGCCAACCGUCAUGUUCUUCACCAUCUCAUUCCGAAUCGUUUCUCUCUUGCUAUCUCACUUCCAGGUGGGCGGUAAUAUACAAACAAAUAACAUGUGUAUGUUAAGCUUAUCCCUUUGCUCUUUAAGAAAGUUUUUUUUAAUCUGCAAGGAGGUGAGUGCGAUCCUAAAAUCCACUUUAGAAAUUUGUUAGUGUUUGUAAUAAGAUUAAAGAAGAAGAAUUUUGUGUACAACAAUAUCCUCAAACCAAAACAAAGUUGACGAAAAUGGACUUUAUGAAUAUAGAUCUCGAAUGUUUUACAAGAUAUGGAAAUGGUAAUCUAAACAAGGCUCAGAGGUGUGUUCAAACAUGUCAUGUCAUGUCUCUCCUUAAGGUGAGCCUCAAACUGAGAAUCAAAAUAAAGAUAAAGACUGAAAUGGGUAAGUGAAGAGUUUGAAGUCGAUAGGUUAGUGUGUUCAAAUAUGUCAUGUCUCCUUGCUCUCAUCUCUCAUCUUUUUUUUGGUUUUUGAUAUUUUCUCUUCUUCUCAUCAUUCCGAUCUCGGAAAUCUCGGACGCUCAGUGGUCACCACGAAAAAAGUUGAGUGUUACAAUCUAGUUAAUCGCACAAUUAUGAAAAAUGUUCUUGGGUGGGCCUAAAAAUGGCAAAAGAAAGUCAAAACAAAGUGUGAAUGUUUGGCUUGGCCCAUUGCAUUGUAUUCUUCUACGGUUCUACCUCCCGCCCAUAGAACAAAGAAAAGAGAAACAGACAUAUGUGUCCUCCUCCUUGUUUCAGAUUACAUCUCUUAGAUGCUACUAGAACCAUUUGCCCUACACGCUUCCCACGUGUCAGUCUCUCUUCCCACAGAAAUCCACUUUGUGGUCUUUUUCUGUUUUCUUUUAUAAAAAAUAAACAGAAUCCCUCUUUCUUAUCCUACUCAAUAAAAUAUCUGAACCUUAGAGAAGAAGGAAGAAGAAAAGAUGACGACGCAGAAGAAAGAGAUGGAAGUGGUGAAGGAUCUUGACUUGGAGAGAUACAUGGGCCGUUGGUACGAGAUUGCUUCUUUCCCUUCCAUUUUUCAGCCCAAGAACGGUAUUGACACUCGCGCCACCUACACCCUCAACCCUGACGGCACGGUUGAUGUCUUGAACGAGACGUGGAACAGUGGCAAGAGAGUUUUCAUCCAAGGCUCAGCAUACAAGACUGAUCCUAAGAGCGACGAGGCUAAGUUCAAAGUUAAGUUCUACGUCCCUCCUUUCCUCCCUAUCAUUCCUGUCACUGGAGAUUACUGGGUGUUGUAUAUUGAUCCUGAGUACCAGCACGCCGUCAUCGGCCAGCCUUCAAGGAGUUAUCUCUGGGUAUGUCUUGUUGUGUUUUGUCUCUUUAUGAUGAAUAUGAUAGAAAAAGCUAAGGAUUGAUAUUGAGUAUGUGGGAUAUGUGGUGUAGAUACUGAGCAGGACGGCGCAUGUGGAAGAAGAGACAUACAAGCAGCUGCUGCAGAAGGCGGUGGAGGAAGGGUACGACGUCAGCAAGCUUCACAAGACCCCUCAGAGUGACACACCACCUGAGUCCAACGCUGCUCCUGACGACACCAAUGAUCAAAUGCUAAAAUAGACCACAAGGGUCAAAAAAAUUUUAUAUAGACCUAUUGUUUCUUUAUUUUAAAAAUAAAUAAAAAUUAGGGAGAAAAAACCAUGAGACCUAAUAACUUAAACAUAUUUACUAACCUAUGCCUUUGCAAUUCUACUCAGAUUAUGAUCCAGAUUCUAACCUGGAUCCAUACACAAACCUGAUCCAACUCUAACCCUAGUCUUCUUCUUCCUCCUUUUUUCUUCUCCAUUAAUGUUCUUUCACUUUUAAAAAAAAUCAAAAAAUUCUUUUAACCAUCCUCCAUUUUCUCUUUCUUAACCCAAAUCGAACAAUCUAUACUCAUAUUUAAUUAAUUAUAUCUUAUUUAAAAUCAAAUUUCAUCUUUUAUGAACGAUGUUUAAAAUAAAGAAGAACACGAAGUGUAACUAAUACAACUAGUACAACUACAACUGGUACGGCUAGUACAACUCCAACUCAUACAACUAGUACAAAUAAAAUUGGUACAGCUAGUACAAUUAAAACAAAUAUAACUAGUAUAAAUAUAUUGAGUAUAGCCAAUAUAGCUGAUACAAAAAAAACUUGUAUAACUAAUACAACUUUACAAUAAUUUGGUGAUUUUUAUUUUUUUGUUAUCAACAUAUAAAAAUGAUAGAAAAAAGAUAAUUUAGAACCAAUAAGACAUGUUGGUCCAAUCUUUCCCCGCCUGCAUGUAUCAAACACAUGAAUUGUAUAUUUUUAAUAAUAUUUGAAUUGAAUAAUGAUUUAUUUACAAGUUGUACAAGUUAUACUGGUUGUACUAUUUCCGAAAAAAAACAUCAUCAUCUUAUUAUUCUCAAAGCCAAAAAAGUAGAUGUGGAUCCAAAAAAGUCUUCAACCAUGGUUCCAAAAAAACACAAAUCACUGGAAAAAUAAAAAGAAGGGAACGUCGGCGAUGAGUAAGAGUGACCAUCAUCGAUGGAGAAAAAGAUGGCCUCUAUUGUGAAGAAGAGAGAUGCCGCAUCGAAAAAUAAAAAAAGACGCAGCGAAGAAAAAGAGAGAUGCGACAAAAAAGAAUGUAGUCGUGGCCAAAAAUAGGAAGCUCGACGGUGGUGUCCGUGGUGGGUCUUCAUCAAAUCCAAACAAACGGCUCGGAACUGCAAGAGAGAAACCACAUCUCCACCGGAUCCUCAAUGCGAUCUUUUUCUGGAACCAUCAAUGGCUUCUCCAUUUCAGCCCACUAGUAAGCCCCAUAAAUCAUGAAGUCAACCCAAAAAUUUAGAUGUAUUUUGGUAUAACUAAUGCAACAAGUUCAACUACACUGUAAUAUAUAAGAAUAGUACAACUACUCGACAUUAGUGUUUCAAUCAAAAUAUUUAAAAUAAGAUACACAUUCAAAACGUGAUGCAUAUUUAAAACAAUACUAAAUUAAAUAACAAGUAGUUAUACCAGUUUUCUAGUUGUAUCGGUUGUGCAUAGUUGUACUAGUUUUUGAGUUGUACCAUUUUGUGCAUAGUUGUACUUCGGCAGUAAAAACCAAAAUAUUAGUUGUUCCACAUAAUAAAUAUAUUUACCUCAGUUGUACCACUUAUUUAUGUUUUCAUGUCUUUGUCCGGUUACAAUGAAAUCAUCAAUUUUGUAAAAAUACAUUUCAUGUAUGUUUUCCAAAAAUUAUGUGGACAAACAAGUUAACAAACCUUAAAAGUAUAAGGUACAUCAUGUAAAUUUCUGAAACAGUGUAAUAAUUUUUAUUUUAUUUUUCCAAAACUUAAAAUAAAUUAAGAAAAACUUUUUGAAUACAUACCCUUUGCCGUCUGCAAAAAACUGAAAAUCAACCCAUUGCAGUAUGUAGACGACUGUUACACUUGUGAACGGUAUUACAAAACUUAUGCUGCCACUUUUCUCCUGUUCCGGAGUUAUCAGCUUGGCCGGAAGCUUCCGGAGUUCCGAGAUUGUUUCCCCCAGUCAUUCCUCGCCACCACCGCCUCCACCUUCUGUAGUACCAUGUAAGGCCCAACGCAAAUCAACUCCUAAGACUAAUAAAAGGAAGAGCUCAGAAAUGUAGAUUUUCAUCUGAGUCGAACCGGACAUUUUGGUAUGUUUAUGUAGUAUCUUGCGACUUUCGGAAGUAGGGUUAAUCCCGGUUUGAAUUUUACGAUGUUGAUGCUGUAAUGUAAGAAACAGAACGUGUGUUGGUGUUUUUUUUUGGUAUGUGAUGAUUAAUCCGGUUUGUGUCAGAAAUUUUGUCGAUCCCAUGAACCGAUACAAAAACAAAGCUAAACCGGAUCGGAAACUGAAGCCAACCGUCAUGUUCUUCACCAUCUCAUUCCGAAUCGUUUCUCUCUUGCUAUCUCACUUCCAGGUGGGCGGUAAUAUACAAACAAAUAACAUGUGUAUGUUAAGCUUAUCCCUUUGCUCUUUAAGAAAGUUUUUUUUAAUCUGCAAGGAGGUGAGUGCGAUCCUAAAAUCCACUUUAGAAAUUUGUUAGUGUUUGUAAUAAGAUUAAAGAAGAAGAAUUUUGUGUACAACAAUAUCCUCAAACCAAAACAAAGUUGACGAAAAUGGACUUUAUGAAUAUAGAUCUCGAAUGUUUUACAAGAUAUGGAAAUGGUAAUCUAAACAAGGCUCAGAGGUGUGUUCAAACAUGUCAUGUCAUGUCUCUCCUUAAGGUGAGCCUCAAACUGAGAAUCAAAAUAAAGAUAAAGACUGAAAUGGGUAAGUGAAGAGUUUGAAGUCGAUAGGUUAGUGUGUUCAAAUAUGUCAUGUCUCCUUGCUCUCAUCUCUCAUCUUUUUUUUGGUUUUUGAUAUUUUCUCUUCUUCUCAUCAUUCCGAUCUCGGAAAUCUCGGACGCUCAGUGGUCACCACGAAAAAAGUUGAGUGUUACAAUCUAGUUAAUCGCACAAUUAUGAAAAAUGUUCUUGGGUGGGCCUAAAAAUGGCAAAAGAAAGUCAAAACAAAGUGUGAAUGUUUGGCUUGGCCCAUUGCAUUGUAUUCUUCUACGGUUCUACCUCCCGCCCAUAGAACAAAGAAAAGAGAAACAGACAUAUGUGUCCUCCUCCUUGUUUCAGAUUACAUCUCUUAGAUGCUACUAGAACCAUUUGCCCUACACGCUUCCCACGUGUCAGUCUCUCUUCCCACAGAAAUCCACUUUGUGGUCUUUUUCUGUUUUCUUUUAUAAAAAAUAAACAGAAUCCCUCUUUCUUAUCCUACUCAAUAAAAUAUCUGAACCUUAGAGAAGAAGGAAGAAGAAAAGAUGACGACGCAGAAGAAAGAGAUGGAAGUGGUGAAGGAUCUUGACUUGGAGAGAUACAUGGGCCGUUGGUACGAGAUUGCUUCUUUCCCUUCCAUUUUUCAGCCCAAGAACGGUAUUGACACUCGCGCCACCUACACCCUCAACCCUGACGGCACGGUUGAUGUCUUGAACGAGACGUGGAACAGUGGCAAGAGAGUUUUCAUCCAAGGCUCAGCAUACAAGACUGAUCCUAAGAGCGACGAGGCUAAGUUCAAAGUUAAGUUCUACGUCCCUCCUUUCCUCCCUAUCAUUCCUGUCACUGGAGAUUACUGGGUGUUGUAUAUUGAUCCUGAGUACCAGCACGCCGUCAUCGGCCAGCCUUCAAGGAGUUAUCUCUGGGUAUGUCUUGUUGUGUUUUGUCUCUUUAUGAUGAAUAUGAUAGAAAAAGCUAAGGAUUGAUAUUGAGUAUGUGGGAUAUGUGGUGUAGAUACUGAGCAGGACGGCACAUGUGGAGGAAGAGACAUACAAGCAGCUGCUGGAGAAGGCGGUGGAGGAAGGGUACGACGUCAGCAAGCUUCACAAGACUCCUCAGAGUGACACACCACCUGAGUCCAACGCUGCUCCUGACGACACCAAGGGUGUUUGGUGGUUCAAAUCUAUGUUCGGCAAAUAGUUACAGAAACACAAGACCUUCGUUUCACCUCCUGUUACUUCCAUUGCUUGUGUAAUAAUAUUACUACCCCUUAUGUUUACUCUAGUAAUCAUCGUAAAGCUUUCGUGUAUAUUGAACAUCUAAAGUAAU